rnacentral:rRNA from 1 species
GACAGAGGAUGCAAGCGUUAUCCGGAAUGAUUGGGCGUAAAGCGUCUGUAGGUGGCUUUUUAAGUCCGCCGUCAAAUCCCAGGGCUCAACCCUGGACAGGCGGUGGAAACUACCAAGCUGGAGUACGGUAGGGGCAGAGGGAAUUUCCGGUGGAGCGGUGAAAUGCGUAGAGAUUGGGAAGAACACCAGUGGCGAAGGCGGCUAUCUGGACGGUUUCUGACGCUAAGACGCGAAAGCGUGGGGAGCAAACAGG